GUGCCAGCCGCCGCGGUAAUACGUAGGUGGCAAGCGUUGUCCGGAUUUAUUGGGCGUAAAGCGAGCGCAGGCGGUUCUUUAAGUCUGAUGUGAAAGCCCCCGGCUCAACCGGGGAGGGUCAUUGGAAACUGGAGAACUUGAGUGCAGAAGAGGAGAGUGGAAUUCCGCAUGUAGCGGUGAAAUGCGUAGAUAUGUGGAGGAACACCAGUGGCGAAGGCGACUCUCUGGUCUGUAACUGACGCUGAGGCUCGAAAGCGCGGGGAGCAAACA
rnacentral:rRNA from 1 species